rnacentral:rRNA from 1 species
CCUACGGGAGGCAGCAGUGGGGAAUAUUGGGCAAUGGAGGAAACUCUGACCCAGCGACGCCGCGUGCGGGAUGAAGGCCUUCGGGUUGUAAACCGCUUUCAGUAGGGAAGAAGCGAAAGUGACGGUACCUACAAAAGAAGCACCGGCUAACUAUGUGCCAGCAGCCGCGGUAAUACAUAGGGUGCAAGCGUUGUCCGGAAUUAUUGGGCGUAAAGAGCUCGUAGGUCGUUUGUUACGUCGGAUGUGAAAACCUGAGGCUCAACCUCAGGCCUGCAUUCGAUACGGGCAAACUAGAGUUUGGUAGGGGAGACUGGAAUUCCUGGUGUAGCGGUGGAAUGCGCAGAUAUCAGGAGGAACACCAAUGGCGAAGGCAGGUCUCUGGGCCAAUACUGACACUGAGGAGCGAAAGUCUGGGGAGCGAACAGGAUUAGAUACCCUGGUAGUCCAGACCGUAAACGGUGGGCACUAGUUGUGGGAACCUUCCACGGUUUCUGCGACGCAGCUAACGCAUUAAGUGCCCGCCUGGGGAGUACGGAUCGCAAGAUUAAACUCAAAUGAAUUGACCGGNAGACACGAGACGACACGAGGAGAG